UGCCCAGCAACUCCUAUCCCUACCUCCUCGUGGUACUGGCCGGGGUACGAGUAGCCUUGGGGAAGAUCGGGUAACCAACCCCCGGUGGGAACUUUGGUCGUAUGCUGACAGGGAAGG
rfam:Aedes aegypti strain Liverpool supercont1.464 genomic scaffold, whole genome shotgun sequence.